GACGUAGGGGGCCAGCGUUGCUCGGAAUUACUGGGCGUAAAGGGUUCGUAGGCGGUGCGGCAAGUCGAAAGUGAAAUCUCUGGGCUUAACUCAGAGGCUGCUUCCGAAACUGCCGUGCUAGAGUGCGGGAGAGGCGAGUGGAAUUGCAGGUGUAGCGGUGAAAUGCGUAGAUAUCGGGAGGAACACCUGUGGCGAAAGCGGCGCACUGGACCAUAACUGGCGCUGAGGCGCGAAAGCUAGGGGAGCAAACAGG
rnacentral:rRNA from 1 species